rnacentral:rRNA from 1 species
CAACGCGUAUAGAAUCUACCUCUUACUAGGGGAUAGCCCAGAGAAAUUUGGAUUAAGACCCUAUGGUAUGUCAGGAUGGCAUCAUUUUGAUAUUAAAGGUUACGGUGAGAGAUGACUAUGCGUCCCAUUAGCUAGUUGGUAAGGUAACGGCUUACCAAGGCGACGAUGGGUAGGGGCCCUGAGAGGGGGAUCCCCCACACUGGUACUGAGACACGGACCAGACUCCUACGGGAGGCAGCAGUGAGGAAUAUUGGACAAUGGGCGAGAGCCUGAUCCAGCCAUGCCGCGUGCAGGAAGACGGUCCUAUGGAUUGUAAACUGCUUUUGUACGGGAAGAACAAGGGGCACGUGUGCCCCUCUGACGGUA